GCGGCCGGGCGCCGCUGCAGCGAGCAGGAGCCGUGCCAUGGCCGCGGCCGGCCGGGCCGCCCAGCGCGCCUUCUCCGCCGCGCGGCUCUUCCUGAUUAUCUCCGUGUUUGCUCAGUCGGGGCUCGUCCCAGGCGCUGCUCAGCCAUCCUCCCCUCUGCUCCGCAUUCCUGAUCGUGUUUCUGAGUAUUUGCUGAAGUGUUUCACGCAGUACCGCAAACACAUCUGAACAGGCUCGAGCUCCGGCCUCGCAAGCUCUUGUUGUUCUGAGGACAGUCGCUGCUUCUUCUUACUUGUUCCUUGAGUUCCAGGCUGUUGUUCGAGUGGGGCUGGUUUGCUGACUGAAGAAUAAUGCCGGUGGCUCUUCCGCCUCUUCUGCGUUUUGCUUGUCUUUUUUAUUCAAAUUUGCUUGCCACAUUCUAUGGCCUGUAUCAUCAGAAAAAUGUAACACGCUAUUGGAUUCUCAUCCUUCUCGA